rnacentral:lncRNA from 1 species
CCCUCUUUCCUCUCCCCAAUCUCUGUAGCCGCCACACCGGUCCUCCUCCAUCCUCUCUCCCUCCCUCCCUCGUCAGCCACGAGACCCACCGCCUCCUUCCUCUCCGCCGUGAAGUUUCGUUCUCUUGUCCUCCGGAGCUCCUCUCAUGUCGUCAUGCUCGCGCAAAGCACCGCGUCCACCCAACCAUCUUUGCUGCGCAAGGCGGCCGGAGGACGAACAACGGCGGUCCGAGCUCCGCUGCCUCCAUCCAUGUCUCAUCCUCCUCUUGCGCGCCGGCCGACCGGAGGCUGCCUCCUGGUGGGUGGUAGGUGCGAGCGAUGACGCUGGAGGCCAGAUCUGGAAGCUUAGCUAAUGCAGCACCGUGACAACUUCGGUAAGAAAAACAUGUGUCUGGUUCUGUUCUGUGUGCUUUUUUUAUGCCAUGCUCCACCAAUAUAUAAAGGUUUUAUGUCCGAUUCAUAGACAUCCUUCCCGUACAAAAUCUCUCUCUCUUCGUCUAACUAUCUCGUUUUGCCUUUGAGAUUGCAGAUGCGAGCACUAGGUGUUUGUUUAAAUGCUCAAGGAGGACUGUUCAGGGGAGGACGACAGCUUUCAGGUGGAGCACCGUAUGUUCUCUUAUCAGUACGAGAUGCCAAAUGUUAGUUAAGUUCAUGAUUUGUGCCUUUUGUUCUCACAUAAGUGCCAUUAAUUUAUUAUGAUUCCUGGAGCUAGCUUGUACACAUGGACAUAGGAUUGAGAUUUGCCUACUGUAAGAGUAUGACCAUACAUGAUUUAGGACAUGCAUUUAGCAGAGCAGCAUGGUUAAAGAAACAGUCAGAUUAGCAUGCUACUUCAUAACUAAUAUUUUCUAGGAACAAUCAACUCAUGUCAUGCAAAACAGUACACACAUGCAUGCAAUUUGAUCUAUGUACACAAGUUGCUGGUUAACACAGAGUACAUAAGUGGUUAAAGAGCUACCAACAGAGCAUGCGAUUCAUGUUAAUUAACUGAACAAUGCUCGUGCAGCUCUGAAGCUAAGUUUUGGGAGAUUGUGAGGUCUAGGAGAAUCCGGACAGGGAAUAUGCACACCACCACUCUACUCUACUAGAAUCAUACAAUUUGGACUGCAUGCCUUAAUUAGUUAUGAUGGAAUUAAGGAAGUGUGUUUGUGCGAGCAAUAGGUAACAUGUCAAGCGAGGGUGUAAUAGAGAAUAUGAAGCAGGAGCUGGUCAUGCUGCUGCUCAAGGAGGAAGAGGAGGUGAAGGCGACACAGAGGAGCUUGCCAUAGCUGCUUGCCAGCUCCGGGAAUUCCUCCUUCCAGAAGCACAACGCCAUGUCCUAGAGUAUGUUCACGUACUUCUAUCUGCCUAAUACAUGCAAGCAGUGACUGAUCCAUGCAUGUAUGUAUAUAAACUGACAAUUAUAUGUGAUUGAUUAAUUAACUAAAACUUGAGAGGGUAAAAGGACAAGUGUUUUCAAAUGGAGGAUAUACUAUACGUGCAGCUAAUUAUGUACACAUCUCAAGAUUUAUAGUGCAAUUUUUGUGGGGCAGGUUAAAGAGCCCAUGUUAGUUUGCUUGAUUUAUUUAUGUUCAAAAGGGACAAUACAAUGCUCUUUGAGUUAAGUUUUUUUUAAUAUUUUGAGUACUCCUUUAGUAUUUAUCAAACUGAGGCAUGACUGCUGUGUGCACUUCUUACUGAAGAUGAUCCUGGUAUUAUUUGCUUUCAGAAAAGAAAGAGACGGCUCCAUGUGCACUUCUUAGCAUUAUAUCAACUAGCAAAUAUGCCCGUGCGUUGCAACGGGAAAAAAUUAAGCAUAUGUAAUAUGGUUAGUGAGUUCAACCAUCUUUAAUUAUUGAAGGAACUUACAUAAGGUGAGUUGAUUCUAAGUAAAUCCAUAUGAAUCCAUUAAAACUGUGCACAUUAGGUAUUAGACCAGAUGCGCAUUUCGAACUGGGUCAUUUCUUGUGCAUCUCAGUGAAAAAAAUUAUCAUGGGAAAGUCAUGGAUAAAGGGUAACCUUUUUUCGGAUAAAUAACACAAACUAAUGAAAGUAUGUAAACAAAUAAUAAUUAUCCAUCAUCUCACAACUUGAAAAAAAAUGGUACGGCAUGUAUGUUCGACCAGACACGAGGGAGGCGAUAGAUCAAUCAAAAAUUCAUUCCUCCUUGGUGUUGCAUUGUCCACCUAUAGUGCUUCCUCACAUCCCUACUUUCCGAUGCCGCAAGGGCCAAAUGCCGAGCUCCUCAAGAUUUCGGACUUGCAGAACCGAAGCAAGGGUUCCCAUAAAUAAUAAACUAAAAUAAAUUUAUCAUAAUAAAAUCGCUGUUAUAAAGGAUUCAAGUAUGAUGAAAAUAUGCAUCUAUGUUUACUUCCCUUAUACAGCCCCUCUUUUAGGUGCAUGGGGCAUCCGUUACACAUGGGGCAGCUUUUUUUUGGGUGCAUGGGUCAUCCGUAACACAUGGCGCGGCCUUUUUUUUACGUGCAUGCAUGGGGCAGCCGUUUCUAGAUGUGCGGAGAUUAGUAUUUGCGUUUAUAGUGAGCAGUGGUCUGGUCUGCCUUCCGAAUUUAUUUUAUUUUUUGAGAAACCCCGCUCCUCCUAUAAUACAGAAGUUUCCUAUGUUUGCACACAAUCACAAGCCAUAUCAGUUGGUUAGUCCGCUGUGCACACUUCCUGCCAACCUUGGUUUGAGACCUCAUGAGCGCAAUUUUUUCCCUUUUUGUUUUACAAAACGGACAACGUACAAAAAAACAUAAAAGGACGACGUACAAAAGGACCCGAUGACCAAAAAAAGUGGAGAAACAAUCCUCCCUUUAAUAUUAGGUAAAGAAUGGAGUGAAUAGGGUUAUAUAUCAUCAUAUCUGCAUACAUAAUAUCUUCUAUAAUUAUUUACCGAUGUAGGCUCCUGUUGUUAGAUGGUGAACUUAUGCUCUUUUAUGCCAAGUAGUUAAAUUUAUGUGCACCUUCUUAAGUGUUUACUUGUUUCUGCUUUUAUAGUAUGGCUUGGUGGACCGAGGCCCUGCUGUGGAAAAAGAUCCUGAUAUGUUCGACCAUGCCGCCUUUAUGACCUAUUAAUGUGUUUUGAGCAUGUGACAAUUGUUUUCUCAAAUUUACGUGGUCUAUCUUAGAUUAGUAGUAAUCCUUCUCUAUGUUUCUGUAAUUUCAGUUCCUUAUGUUUGCCUUUAGAAAUUUCCUUUGCAUAUCCUGUUUUCUGCACAUCCCUCUUGUGGCCUGUUGUAAUGGUCUAAUGAACAGCCAUAUCAUGAUAUGAUUGCAUCGUUGCAUGAUAGUGUACCAUAUGCUCAUGCAUUUGUUUUCUUACCGAUGUUGUCCUAAUGAGUUGGCUGGCUUACAUGUAGUCUGCUGUAAAGGUCUACUUGUUUCAGGUAGCAUUGCUUUCUGGAAUACAUUAUUGGAACUUGGUAACCUUCCCUGGUUAUAGUCAGCAAGACAAGAAGAACAUACUUGUGUAUGAGUUCAUGCACAACGAAAGGAGCACCUUAGCUGAUGUUAAAUUUUCUCUUUGGAAUCAACAACACACUGUUGUAUAUACACGUGUGAUUCUUUCGCAGUAAAACUUUGCCUGUGCAGUUGUAUUUUGCUGAUUCAGGUUGUCUUAGCCUGCAACACUACGUCUAGGUUACCGCGUAGCCCAUUUCCUUUUAAGUGGGUACUUCCGAAUGAAAACUUGGAAUUACCUAAUAGGUGCAUACAUGAACUAUUGAUGGUGUGAAUAGAAACAACGGCAUUGGCGCAGACGCUUGGUGACCUUCACGUUGUUCCUCCAAGGCAGGCCAUGAGUGAUGGCAGCCGUGAGGUCAGCGUUGCUAGGAAAUAGGGAAAGGCUGCUGCCAAUUAUGCAAGAUACACACAUAGUUUGUGUUUGCUGUUUACAUGUCAGUUUUUUACCAUUUGAACUGUCUUUUAUAGACUGUAUAGUUCACAAAAAAGAAACUUUCGAUAAAGCAUAUAUGGGUUUGCAGUAGACCAUUCUAGACCAUAUUUCUUGAAUACAUAGUUUAUAGUAUUUUCUGGUUUUAAAUAUAUGAGAUUGCCCAUCUUAGUUAGUGGCACUGCUAUGCUUCACAGUAUACAAUGCUUGCAUGCCAAUAUAAUCAUAAGUGUUUUUUCGUUUUCAGGUGUUCUUAAUAUGGUGGGUGAUUGAAGCGAAAGCAUGAGGAGCAGUUCAAAGGGCGGAUGGAGCAUGUGACUUGUGUGGAAAUAACAAAUUUUCUUUUAGAUGAUUUGAGUGUAUGCUGAUGCGUGAAAGUCAAUCAUUUGGAUUCCCAACUAGCCUAUUGUGUGUGUUCAAUAUUUUGUUGCGCAUUGACAAAAUGUUUUCAGUGCCCGAGUGCGCAAGUUGAAUUUUGAAACAUAUGAGAGGAUAACCCUGCAAAAGGGAAUUUGCCCUUUAUGAAGGUUCGGGCUUGCUGUUGUAAUUAAAAGUAGGAGAUUUAUAUAUACCUAUAAUAGAAUAAUUCCUCAAGCUAAAGGCUUCUGUAACAUGUAACAUAUGAACUUUGUUUGUGCUAAUAAUUUUCCAGCCAUAGUAAAAGGCUAUGUUGCACAGGUA